CAACAGGCCCUUUUUAGGGCCACAUAAUUUAACGAAGGAGAACCAA
rfam:Strigamia maritima strain Brora ctg7180001223517, whole genome shotgun sequence.